UUUUUUUUUUUUUUUUUUUGCCAGAAAUGGUGACGUACAAAGACAUGAGACAGGGUUUCCAACCAUCACUAGAGUGCCUCAUUUGUGAGACAUAGCAAGAGGUCAGAAGAGGGAGUCAACUUGCUAGGACCAGUUCUCAUAUUCAUUUAAAUAAAGCAGACGAUCCCUCACACUACUAUGAUCUGAUGCUACUCACUAUCUGCCAAAACAUAAAAGGGAAACACAGCAAGCUGGCAAUGAAAUGCUAGAUACAUUCAGGCACCAUUCUUAUUUUUACAAAAAUUUACCUUUUGUGUCAUGCUCUGGAGCUAGUCUAAUUGCCUCUCAUUCAUUUAUAACAUUUUAUGUUCUGAAUUCCCCGCAUAUGGGAAAAUCAUGUGAGCUGCAAAAAGACUGGAGCACAGAGAUACAAAAAAGAUUUGGGCUUGCAUUCAGAGAGCUAAAGCUAGACAAGCCACUGGCCAAAGACAUGAUUUAAUUCUGACACUGCCAUCCUGCCAGAAAGAGAAGCUAGAGGGUAAAAUGUGGUGCCAGAGAUCACCAAUAAACUGGUAUUUUCUUCAAUAAAGAUGGAUUAAUUUUUAAACCAGAAGAACUAUUAUUUCAGUACUCCUGAUUAAUAACUUAAAUUACAUGUUGAUUCCAGAAUUAAGGGAAUAUUUAAUCUGAAUUUCAAUUGAAGAUCUGAAACUAUAUUUGUAGAAAUGCAAGCCACUUAUAAAAACAUCCAAUGAUGUUCUGAGGUAAGUAACAUACCACUUGUUAUAUACAGCAGCCUCUACCUUGUCACUCUCUCCACUUUCAAUCACAGAUUGAAAUGCCUUAUCAGGCACCCAAACUUCAUUUGUAUCUCUGAAAACAAAAGAAAUUGAUAGAAUAUUUAUACUUCUAAAGAUCUUAAGAGACAGGGAGAAGAUGUUCCACUGGCAUUUAUGGGCAUCAUUAAAUACAAACAUUUUGCCAUCAAUACGUAAUACACCAUCACUGUCUUUCUACCUGCUGAAGAAUACAGUCACAGUGAUCAGGGCACAAAUGAAUUCCCUUUAUCUGUAUGCUCAGAAAGUUGCCUGGGAGCAAGUUUUAUGAUAAAUGCAGCCUGUUCCAUAUACACAGAGCAGUAUUAAGAUAUGUGACAGGCUGAAUGACUGUUAGCACAGACACUGUGCGGGAUCUUCCAUCUUCCAAAAUAAGAACUCCCUCAACAUCACGCAUCCAUACUAUUGGCUUACUUCAAGGGGGAAAGAGGAGUUAGGAAAUGGGAGGGAUUAAUGAAAACUGUGAAAAUUAGUCCAUACAAGCUUCUGAGGAUUUGUUUGCAGGUCAGACAUUUUAUUCCUUGGCUUAACAGGACAACAAAAACUCCAAGAAAUCAUGAGACCGAUAGGAUGAUGCUUCACAAAGUAAUGCAUUUGGGGUUCUUUUGAUCUCACUUCUGAAAUAUUUGGGUUCCCUGAACUUUGGAAUCUCAGGGUCAGAGAUGGAUGUAGGCAGAACUGAGGUAUCUACAUGUAAAAUUUUAAUCCAGUAAAUUAUCAUUAAUCUGCUACCUAAUCCAGGAAAUGUCUAAUUUUUCCAUGUGCAUCUCUUGGAUUUUAAUUUCCUUCUUCAAAAGCCCAGAGCUCCUGUGAUCUUAAAAACAAAAUACUUCAUGAAACAAAAAGGAUAAUCACAUUCUAAAGAGAAAAUAACAUAACAAAAUAUUUAGCUUUUAUAGUUUUACAGUAACACUAAUCAUUGAAACAGUUCUCAAUGCCAGUGAGUUACCGCUAUAAGAACACAUCUAUCCUUUAAACAAAUGAGUUGCCUUUAAAGGAAUAUUUCAAUGAACUAUAAUUAAGUAUUUCAAAACAGUUCUCUUACAAUCAGUCUGAUUUGUUUUUUGACCUCAUUCAAAAUGAAACCAAAUUUUCAAUAUCAAAGUCAGACGUUGGUUAUUUGUUGCCUUUUUUUUUUUUCAGUCAUUGUCCUAAAAGAAAUGUUACAAUUUUAAGAAUCUUCAUUUUAUAUCGGUGGGAAGAGUUUGUUACUGCAAAUAUGAUUUGAACAUCUCAGGCACUUUUAAUGACCAGUUAUUUAGAUCAAAAGAUUGUCUGUGGCUGCUGUAGAUUCCUCCUGCUCAACAUUAAACCCUCCUUCCUCUCCUCCUUCCUCGAAUUCCCCACAUAGCUACCCACCUUUCAUUUCCAGGAGAGUUUCAUACUAAUUAGAAUUCUCAGAGCAUUAAGAUAGAGAUAGAUUUAUCGAGUGAAUGAACUCAAAGAAGAAGCAGUUGGGAAUGUCUCACAUUUGUCAAUUCUUUUUCCAAUUAUUAAGAGUAUGUGAUCAAUUUGCUUCUCAGAGAGUUCAUGUUAAAAUUCUCUAAAAUGUUUUUUAGGGCACUGCAAUGUCACUACAUUAUUAAAGCUUAUUAAUAAGAUGCAAAAGCAGAUAAAAUUGAAUUUUCCCAUUUUAAUUUUAGAGAUAACAGAAUUUGAUUUAUUUUCUAUGUGUGCUGAACAGAGAAGUAUAAUUGAUUUAUUUACCACCAUGCCACUGUUUUCAAUACUUGGACCAAAAAUUUCCUAACAACACCUAAUAAGUACACACAUUUUUCAGAGACGAAGUUCUAACUCUCUUCAAAAAAGUAGUUUUUAUGACAGUUACCUUGAAAAAGAUUAAUUAUAUGACAAGUAUGGUAAUUGGAUUAUUAUUUUAUCAAUUCUGGGAAAAUUCUCUUUGAAAGUAGAACAAUAGCUUAAAAAUCUGAACAUCUGAGUUUUCUUUAUUUUUACUUUAAGGUAGUGAUGGGUUGGCAUUGCCUGUGCUGGAAGCCUGAACACUAAGGACAUGAAGCUGAGAAAGAAGAAUCACACAAAUAUAGGAGUAAAAAGUGAUAUGAAUUAAAAAAGAUAUUUUAAAUUAAAAGCGUCUACCUCUUCUCUAAAUUCAAAUCUAAUUAAACUUGAAUCAAAAAUGUAAUUAAAUAUCCAUAUGUAUACAAAUAGUAAUAUCUGGACAACUGGAAGAAUCAUAGAAUGGCUUGGGUAGGAAUGGAUCUCAAGGAUCAUCAAGUUCCAAUCCUCCUGCUUCAGGCAAGCUUGCCAACCACUAGUUCAAGUACAAGAUCAGGUUGCCCAGGGCCCCACCCAACCUGGCCCUGAACACCUCCAGAGAUGGAGAACCCACAACCUCUCUGGGAAAUCUGCUCUAGCACCUCAACAGCCUCUCAGUGAAAAACUUUUACCUGAUAUCUAACUUAAAUCUUCCCUCCCUUUCUUUAGAACCAUUCUCCCUUGUGCUAUCACCAUCUACCCAUGUAAAAAGUUGAUUUCCCUUCUGUUUAUAAUCACCCUUUAAAUACUGGAAGGCUGCAGUGAUGACUGUCUCCCUGCAGUCUUCUCCAGACUGAAUAAUCCCAGCUCCCUCAGCCUGUCUCAUACAAAAGGUGCUCCAGCUCUUCAGUCAUCUUCGUGGCCCUCCUCUGGACCUGCUCCUAAACCUCCAUGUCUUUCUUGCAGUGAGGGCCACUGACCUGAGUGCAAUACUCCAGAUAGGGCCUCAUGAUUAGCAUCCACCCAAUUGGGUAUUAAUUACCAAUUAAAAAAAAAAUUGAGUUUUAACAUGCAAAGGAAAACAGAAAAGAAAGGUUUUUUAAUAUAUUAGUGGUAUUUUCAAACAUCAUCCCAACACUUUUGAAAUGUAGAAUUUAGAUAUACUUAAAAAUCUGUGUUCGGUUUAACCAAUUUCUAUCAUUUUGUAUUAUUUGUUUUUAGAUUUCCUGAAGUUGAAUGCGUCAUUUAUGUACUAAAGUCACCAGAAACAUGUCAUAUUUAGAAAUAUGAAAUUGUCCCAGAGCACAUCGCUAAUUGAACAUUCUUUUUGAUCUUCAUGAAUGAUUAAUAGUAGGCCUCAAGUCACUGCUGAAUCUAGACUUCUAAAGAAAAAAGAGGUUAUGCUAUCACAAUUUACAAGAUCAAGUUCUGUGUGGUAAUCAAAAUUUUAUCUAUGAAAGGGUCAUCCUCUGGAGAUAUGCCUGCUUAACAACAGUAAUAGUAAUGAAUGACUGUCUAAUGAUCUGAGUUUGCAGCAAAAUUGUUGUAAAAAAAAAAAAAAAAAA
ensembl:lncRNA